GGUGAGGUAUAGAAAAUAAGUGAAAAGAUGAAGCUGCUACAAUCCAGUGUUCUAGGUACAAAGGAAUUCUUCACAAUGAUCAUGUACUUGCAAUCAAAAGAACUCGACGGGGAUCGUUAGAGGGUGCACAAGAAUUUAAAAACGAUAUAAAAAUUAAUGUCGAGAAUCCCUUCAAUUCACAGCCUGACUCACAUGAAAAACUAGAAGAAACCAAGUUGUCAAAAUCAUCCACAAGACGACCAGCAUUUUUGUAUAGGUUGAAGGUGACAUUCAGGUCCUUGUCCCAUUAGUUGCAGGAAAAAAGUGUAAUGAGAGAAUACAAGGCAAGUGACUCAUUCAUACCCACAAUUAACAUUUUGUAGAUCUUGAUAUUGGAAUAGUGUACUUGUAUGUUGUAGGGUGUAACAUUACUCUCUUAUCUUCCAAUUUAUUGAAUACAAAUAAUAGUCAUUCUUUUGUAA